CAAAGCACCAGGUCCUCCAGUUGUAAAGCACUGCUGCACAAAACGCUGGGUGUUUGGGGGAAAUGGCCCCAAAGCUGCCAGCUCUGUGCGUGGGGCCGGCAGCUUGUCCACCACACGUUUCCCCCACCACCCGUCUCCUCCAUGGAGAGCGGGGCCUGUCAUUAACCAGCCUGUUGUUAGCGGAGAGGACAGCCACCACAUACUUAGGAAGGAGCUAGAAGCCCUUCAUGAGUGGAGCUCAGCAUAAACACGGGGGCAGAGGGAGAGGGAUGGGGACGGGGAGGCCAGGCAGUGACUUGUGCAACCCUUGUGUACACAUGGGCUUGCUCCACUGGUGUGGAAGGGAGGCCCACCACAGGGAUGUCGCUGUGGGGGCUUCACGGGUGACAAGGAAAAGGAUGAGGGGAGGAAGCCCCCGUGAACCUGGGGGAGAAAUAAAGCUCGCCCUUAUUGCUUUGGAUUUGGGGAAGGUGGUCAUUUGCCACGUGAGGUCAGAGCUGGAAGGCUGUUGGACCAAACAACGUGGAGAGGCCGAGGGGGUCACCUCCAGUUCCCACUGACCCAUUCCUAAAUAUGCUCAGAUAACUUGAUGGCAAACUCCUCAUCGGAGCUUGCAGUUGUCUUCUGCGAGACCAGAGCGUGAGCAGUCCAGGAUAGUCCUGAGGCUGCAAAGUUCUCUGCCUGGAUGCUGGCUCCUAGGAAAACCCCAAACCAGGACUCGGUCGGUGCCCCCUAAUUACACACGGCUCGGUGGGCUCAGCGCUUGCACAGGAGACAGGGCACCCAGCUCCAAGCGCUUUCCUCUGGCAGGGGGGCAAGGGUGGGGAGGGGGAGCGUCAACCCACAUUCCCCACCUCCCAGGAGCCUGCUGUGAUCCCUGCGCCGAGCUGGGUGGCAUCUCACCCCUCCGUUUGAAGUGGUGAAACCGCGCUCGGGCUGGCGCUCGGGGCUGUCUGCCGGAGCAGAGGAGUUCUGCGUACCCGCUCCUGCUCCAAGGACGGCGUGCGUGUUUUACAUUAAGUGCUUGCAGCACAAAAAUGCUGCCGUGGCCUUACCUGAACUUGCAUUCUCACCUGAUUAAUCCCUGCUGUUGAGUGUGAUUUCUAAAGCAAAGGCUCCCCUUCCCCUCCGUACCCUCCUGGAUAGCCAGUAACCUGGUGCUCAGGUCAUUCUCCUGAAUAAGGAGAUGUGGAUUCGGGUCUUUAAGCAGUGAAAGGAAUUAAAUCCCAGAUCUUCUGUUUUCUAGGGAGUGCUCUAUUGGGUCCAACAGAAGGCAGCACCCAUCUUCUUCCAGCAGUGCCUUUGGAGGAUCCUGUAGGUAACCAUCUCCAGAAAGGCUUCUGACACCCCACGACUGCACCUGCAAGAAGUACACCGAGCUAUGUACCCUUGCUCCAGAGCAGGGGGAUUUGGGGUUUGGCCCCAUCCAAUUGUGGCAGGGGACGCAGCACUGAAAAAAAACAGGUCCGUUUUUGACUUGGUCACUUAAAGCCUGCGUUGGAUUGAGGCCUGGGCCGGAACCCUACCCUUCAGAGGCACCCUGCCAUCCAGAGAAUAAACACAAGAGGUUCUGGCGUUGGCUGAGUCAAAGAAACGGUCAGAUGGUGCGCGCUCAGAUUUUCCAAGUGACGACCCACUGGAUCGAGGCCACGCAUGGGAAAUUUCUGCCCCAGAGGAAGAAAUUUUGAGAAAGAUUCAAACGCUUCCAACCAAGUCUUUCAUGAACGCUAGAAGUAUGCGCAGUAUGCUUUGUUCACAAUGGCUCUGUUUUCCCAGACAGAAGCUCCACCAACUGGUGGAAUCGCCCUGGAAUUCGGCGGUGCCACAGAUGGGGAGGCUCGAAUGUUCCCGGGCUGACUCAGUCUGCUCGCUCUGCCUGGCUUGCGGAGACAAUAGGCGAUUCUUCCUCGCUCGCCGAGAUCCAAAAUUAAAAGUAGAGAGGGAAGGAACGGCUCCCCUUCCAGACAAACCCACAGACCGAGCCGUGAUCGCGCUAAGCGGAGGGGCUGUCGGGAAUGUAAUUCCUCCUGCCCACGUAAGAGCUGAUGAGGAAUGGGAGAAGCCGGGACCAGACAAGGUUCAGGCAUGCAAGCACAGCAGAUUAUUAAAUAAGGAGAUGAAGAAACAUUCAGAGGGAUCUUAAUUUGAGUGCAUUAAUUAUGUAAUAACGAAGCAGCUUUAAACCGGAUUUAUCGGGGAGACACAAGAGCUCCAUUUAGCUUUGGCCUUGGUUCCUUCAAAAGGACAAUCUUAUUUGAUUGUCUUCGCUUUGAGAAAAAAGAGAGAGAGGGGGGAAAAAAAAAGCUCAAGCCCAUCUUAUCCUGAGCAAAGAUCUUGAAAGAGUAACAUUUAUUAAUACAGACACGGGUUUUAAUGAACGAUCAAGGCCACGGGGCUGGUUUAUAACCUCUCCCUCCCUA